rnacentral:rRNA from 1 species
AGUGAACGCUGGCGGUAGGCCUAACACAUGCACGUCGAACGGCAGCACAGUAAGAGCUUGCUCUUACGGGUGGCGAGUGGCGGACGGGUGAGGAAUACAUCGGAAUCUACUUUUUCGUGGGGGAUAACGUAGGGAAACUUACGCUAAUACCGCAUACGACCUACGGGUGAAAGCAGGGGAUCUUCGGACCUUGCGCGAUUGAAUGAGCCGAUGUCGGAUUAGCUAGUUGGCGGGGUAAAGGCCCACCAAGGCGACGAUCCGUAGCUGGUCUGAGAGGAUGAUCAGCCACACUGGAACUGAGACACGGUCCAGACUCCUACGGGAGGCAGCAGUGGGGAAUAUUGGACAAUGGGCGCAAGCCUGAUCCAGCCAUACCGCGUGGGUGAAGAAGGCCUUCGGGUUGUAAAGCCCUUUUGUUGGGAAAGAAAGGCAGCAGGUUAAUACCCCGCUGUUCUGACGGUACCCAAAGAAUAAGCACCGGCUAACUUCGUG